GUGUGAAGCUCCGGACGAGAAGAAGAAGAAAGAAGAAAAGUUGAGUGAGAAUUCCUUUUUUCCCCUCCACCAACAAUGUGGAAAGUGGAAGUGGAAGGCGCCAAAACAAGGGUUCACCCCCCCUUCCCCUGCUGGAUGGAGCGCACUGAUUGUGCCCCUGCAACAGAGCGGGAUGCCGGUGGGGCCGGUUUUUAUACGCAGUAACACGCGCAGCGCGGAUGCUGAAAACGGAAAAUCAGGAGCCCGUGAUUCGAAACAACCGCACUUGAAAACGCUCAACUCUGUGUGCCUGUGGAGUGUCUGUCUGUGUCUGUGUGUGUGUGUGUGUGUGUGUGUGUUGGGGUCUGUGGUGCUCUUUAUGCGACAUUCAAAAUAUGUGGCACAUUAUACUACGGUGAUUGUUGCUGUUGUUGUUGCUGUUGCUGUUGCAUUUACAUGCAUUUAUGAGUUAUUAAAUCUUGUGGAUUUAUGAACUGUUUGUGGGCGACGGUUUUUGAGCGACGACACGCGAACUAUGGCAUGGGGCAUGGGGCAUAGAUGCCAUGUGGGUGUGGCAGAAAGAGUGACAGGCGUUUAAAUCAAAUUUAAUGAGCAUUUUGGGGCAGGCUUAGAGAUCGAGGAAGUCCCAGUCCCAGUCCCAGUCCCAGUCCCCUCCUUCCGAGAGGGCCAAGUCUCUUUUCUGGGAGUUCUAUCAAAAGUUGUGGCUGUGGCUGUGGCUGUGGCAGCGGCAAACAUUGAAAUUACACUAAUUAAAAUGCAAUAAAAUGUCUCUAGAAUUGCGGUCAAUAAAUCAUUAUGGCCAGGAGAGCAGGAGGCAGUGCAGGAGCGAGAGGGAGCACCAUGGACAAUGGCCAAAAGACCAGGAGAAUCAGGAGAACAGAACCCCAGGAAGGAGAGGUGCUGCCAGUGCCAUUGCCGACAAAGGAAAUGUGGCUGCAAUUUGCUUGAAAAAGCGAUGCGCUCAUCAUCAUUAGAGGUGUUCUCGCUCUCUCUCUCUCUCUCUCCGACUCUCUUUGCAUCUCUGUGGCAUGCCACAAGCGUC